rnacentral:rRNA from 1 species
ACGUAGGUGGCAAGCGUUGUUCGGAAUCACUGGGCAUAAAGCGCACGUAGGCGGCCAAGUAAGUCAGGUGUGAAAUACCUCGGCUCAACCGAGGAACUGCGCCUGAUACUGGUUGGCUUGAAUCCGGGAGAGGGAUGUGGAAUUCCAGGUGUAGCGGUGAAAUGCGUAGAUAUCUGGAGGAACACCGGUGGCGAAGGCGACAUCCUGGACCGGUAUUGACGCUGAGGCGCGAAAGCCAGGGGAGCAAACGGGA